CCCCCAUCGUCUAGAGGCCUAGGACAUCUCCCUUUCACGGAGGUAACGGGGAUUCGAAUUCCCCUGGGGGUACUGUAGUAUUAAU
rnacentral:tRNA from 1 species